GGUCAAGUGACUAAGCGUAUACGGUGGAUGCCUUGGCAGUCAGAGGCGAUGAAGGACGUAGUAGCCUGCGAAAAGCUUCGGGGAGGUGGCAAACAACCUUUGAUCCGGAGAUGUCCGAAUGGGGAAACCCACCCAGUGUAAGCUGGGUAUCCUUAACUGAAUUCAUAGGUUAAGGAGGCGAACGCGGAGAACUGAAACAUCUAAGUACCCGUAGGAAUAGAAAUCAAUUGAGAUUCCCCCAGUAGCGGCGAGCGACCGGGGAACAGCCUGCAAGUGAUAGCAGUUGGGUUAGUGGAACACUCUGGAAAGGGUGGCGAUAGAGGGUGAUAGCCCCGUACACGAAAGCCUGGUUGUGGUACUGAGCUUGCGACAAGUAGGUCGGGACACGUGUUAUCCUGACUGAACAUGGGGGGACCAUCCUCCAAGGCUAAAUACUCCUGACUGACCGAUAGUGAACCAGUACCGUGAGGGAAAGGCGAAAAGAACCCCGGAGAGGGGAGUGAAAUAGAACCUGAAACCGUAUACGUACAAGCAGUGGGAGCACCCUCGUGGUGUGACUGCGUACCUUUUGUAUAAUGGGUCAGCGACUUAUUGUCUGUAGCGAGCUUAACCGUUUAGGGGAGGCGUAGGGAAACCGAGUCUUAAUAGGGCGACUUAGUUGCAGGCAAUAGACCCGAAACCGGGCGAUCUAGCCAUGGCCAGGUUGAAGGUGCCGUAACAGGCACUGGAGGACCGAACCCACUUAUGUUGAAAAAUGAGGGGAUGAGCUGUGGCUCGGAGUGAAAGGCUAAUCAAGCCCGGAGAUAGCUGGUUCUCCUCGAAAUCUAUUUAGGUAGAGCGUCGUGUCUUACCCUGGGGGGUAGAGCACUGUUUCGGCUAGGGGGUCAUCCCGACUUACCAACCCGAUGCAAACUCCGAAUACCCAGGAGUACAAUCACGGCAGACAGACAGCGGGUGCUAACGUCCGUUGUCGAGAGGGCAACAACCCAGACCGCCAGCUAAGGUCCCUAAUACCAGUUAAGUGGGAAACGAUGUGGGAAGGCUUAGACAGCUAGGAGGUUGGCUUAGAAGCAGCCACCCUUUAAAGAAAGCGUAAUAGCUCACUAGUCGAGUCGGCCUGCGCGGAAGAUAUAACGGGGCUAAAUUGGUAACCGAAGCUGCGGAUGCGUGUACUUCACUUAAGUUCAUUCAGCAAGCUUGUCGACGGCGUAAGCCGGCGACCAAGCGCUUCCGAACGUUGAGUCGUUUGGGGGGGAUGGCGAAAGCUGUCUGAGUGGGUUUAAGGAAGUGCACGCAUGGUAGAGGAGCGUUCUGUAAGCCUGUGAAGGUGUACCGGGAGGUAUGCUGGAGGUAUCAGAAGUGCGAAUGCUGACAUGAGUAACGAUAAGGGGGGUGAAAAACCUCCCCGCCGGAAGAUCAAGGUUUCCUGUCCAACGCUAAUCGGGACAGGGUGAGUCGGCCCCUAAGGCGAGGCAGAAAUGCGUAGUCGAUGGGAAGCGGGUUAAUAUUCCCGCACUUCUUAUUAUUGCGAUGGAGGGACGGAGAAGGCUAGGCCAGCGCGGUGUUGGUUGUCCGCGUUUAAGGUUGUAGGCUGGGGUUUUAGGUAAAUCCGGAACCCUAAGGCUGAGAACUUAUGACGAUCCCCUGGGGAGACCCUCGGGAGAAGUGGUUGAUGCCAUGCUUCCAAGAAAAGCUUCUAAGCAUAGAUAGUAAGGAACCGUACUGUAAACCGACACAGGUGAUCAGGUAGAGAAUACCAAGGCGCUUGAGAGAACUCGGGUGAAGGAACUAGGCAAAAUGGUACCGUAACUUCGGGAGAAGGUACGCCGACUUUGGUGAUGGGACUUGCUCCCUAAGCUGAGGUUGGUCGAAGUGACCAGGUGGCUGCGACUGUUUACUAAAAACAUAGCACUCUGCAAACACGAAAGUGGACGUAUAGGGUGUGACGCCUGCCCGGUGCCGGAAGGUUAAUUGAUGGGGUUAUCUUCGGAGAAGCUCUUGAUCGAAGCCCCGGUAAACGGCGGCCGUAACUAUAACGGUCCUAAGGUAGCGAAAUUCCUUGUCGGGUAAGUUCCGACCUGCACGAAUGGCGUAACGAUGGCCACACUGUCUCCACCCGAGACUCAGUGAAAUUGAAAUCGCUGUUAAGAUGCAGUGUACCCGCGGCUAGACGGAAAGACCCCGUGAACCUUUACUAUAGCUUCACACUGGACUUUGACCUUACUUGUGUAGGAUAGCUGGGAGACUUUGAAGCGUGCGCGCUAGCGUACGUGGAGUCGUCCUUGAAAUACCAGCCUGGUAAUGUUGAGGUUCUAACCUAGGUCCCUUAUCGGGAUCGGGGACAGUGUGUGGUGGGUAGUUUGACUGGGGCGGUCUCCUCCCAAAGAGUAACGGAGGAGCACGAAGGUGCGCUAAUCAUGGUCGGAAAUCAUGAGGUUAGUGUAAAGGCACAAGCGCGCUUGACUGCGAGUCUGACAAGACGAGCAGGUACGAAAGUAGGUCUUAGUGAUCCGGCGGUUCUGAAUGGAAGGGCCGUCGCUCAACGGAUAAAAGGUACUCCGGGGAUAACAGGCUGAUACCGCCCAAGAGUUCACAUCGACGGCGGUGUUUGGCACCUCGAUGUCGGCUCAUCACAUCCUGGGGCUGAAGCCGGUCCCAAGGGUAUGGCUGUUCGCCAUUUAAAGUGGUACGCGAGCUGGGUUUAGAACGUCGUGAGACAGUUCGGUCCCUAUCUGCCGUGGGCGUUGGAGAAUUGAGGGAAGCUGCUCCUAGUACGAGAGGACCGGAGUGGACGAACCUCUGGUGUUCGGGUUGUGUCGCCAGACGCAUUGCCCGGUAGCUACGUUCGGACAGGAUAACCGCUGAAAGCAUCUAAGCGGGAAGCCUCUCCCAAGAUUAAUUCUCCCUGACCCCUUGAGGGUCCUGAAGGGCCGUAGAAGACUACUACGUUGAUAGGCUGGGUGUGUAAGCGCUGUGAGGCGUUGAGCUAACCAGUACUAAUUGCCCGUGAGGCUUGACCAU
rnacentral:rRNA from 1 species